rnacentral:rRNA from 1 species
CCUACGGGAGGCUGCAGUGGGGAAUAUUGGGCAAUGGAGGAAACUCUGACCCAGCAACGCCGCGUGAAUGAUGAAGGUCUUCGGAUUGUAAAGUUCUUUUCUAAGGGAAGAAGAAAGUGACGGUACCUUAGGAAUAAGCCUCGGCUAACUACGUGCCAGCAGCCGCGGUAAUACGUAGGAGGCAAGCGUUAUCCGGAAUGACUGGGCGUAAAGGGUGCGUAGGUGGUUCAGCAAGUUAGUAGCGUAAUUCCGGAGCUCAACUUCGGCACUACUACUAAAACUGUUGGACUUGAGUGCAGGAGGGGCAACUGGAAUUUCUAGUGUAGCGGUGGAAUGCGUAGAUAUUAGGAGGAACACCAGUGGCGAAGGCGGCUUACUGGACAGUAACUGACGUUGAGGCUCGAAAGCGUGGGGAGCAAACAGGAUUAGAUACCCCGGUAGUC